GCAAACUGUAGACUGGAGAUAUUUACUUGCAUAAAACAAACGGAAAUAAAGAGGUGACAAUAACACAGAUAAUGUAGUCUCAAUAUCUUAUAUUACCCACAUCAGGGGCUAGCGAGUGGCCAUAAUAAUUAGUGCUACAUGACAGCAAAUAGAUUAAAUAGCUAGGUGGAUUCUUACAACUAAGCAGUACCAUUAGCCUUACAAAGUCUUGGCUAAUAAACAUCGUUCAAAGCAACGAUGGCAUGCACCUGAACACAAGACUGUUCACAUAGGAGUUGGGACUUCUCCACGCAAUGCCACAAAAUCAGGAGAGUAGGUACAUAGCAACAAACUAAGUUUCGCAAAAGGUGCUGUCCCAUUAUAGGCACAUGAUGUAGCACUGAAUCUCAGUGACCAGCUGAGGGCAAUUCCGCAAAACAGGGAAUAUAAGGCAGACCAUUCAUGCCUUCAGUGCAGAUAACAUGCACUUUCUGAUUAUCCAUGUCAUACGACAAUGUCAAGUUUUUCUUGUCAGUAAGAAAAAUCAUGUUGCAAUCCGGAUGAAUUGCAAACAUCACAUAAGAAUCUCCAUCUUUACGGCAAUUCCUUCCAAACAGCUCCAAAACGUUAACAGUAUGCUUUAGGGUCCACUUUCCAGCAUCAUAAUCCUCGAGGACCCAAAUAUUGAGUUGGCAAUCACGAGAAUUAUCUAUCCACCAGGCAUACAAGCGUCCUUGUAAAAAGGCCCUUACUUCCAAAGCUGCAAGGGAGUGCGACAAGGGGACCCGCAUUCACCUUUCUUAUUCAAUAUGGUUGUGGAAGCCUUAUCCAAAAUGAUCCUGAAAGCUCAAAGAGAGAAAUUGAUAACAGGUCUGGCUCCGGACCUGAUUGAUGGGGGGUAGCUAUCCUCCAAUAUGCAGACGAUACGGUUGUGUGUUUUGAGCAUGAUAAAGAUGUUGCGGUUAAUCUGAAACUCUUACUUUAUUUGUUUGAGCUUAUGUCAGGGCUUAAGAUUAAUUUUCUGAAAAGUGAAAUUUUGUGUGUUGGAGGGGAUGAUGAGGUUCUUGCGUUUCAUUCAAAACUCUUCAAUUGUCAAAUUGGCCACUUCCCUAUGAAGUAUUUAGGGGUGCCUGUGAGCUAUUCUACCCUCCGUGCGAUUGACUGGGAUUUUUUUGAUGACAAAUUCCUCAAGUGCUGUGAAUCCUGGAUUGGUAAUGCAGCCUCCUUAGGAGGAAGAUUGACUCUUCUCAACUCGUCCCUUACGAGCAUUGUUUUCUUUUACAUGUCUAUUUUUAUGCUUUCUAAGAAGAAUAUUGAGAAGCUAGAUAAACAUAGGAAAAAGUUCUUUUGGCAAGAGACUGACGGUCGGAGAAGAUAUCACUUGGUUAGAUGGUCUAGGAUCUGCAGAUCCAAGAAUAAAGGGGGUUUGUGUUGGAAAUAUGCCCUAGAGGCAAUAAUAAAUUAGUUAUUAUUAUAUUUCCUUGUUCAUGAUAAUCGUUUAUUAUCCAUGCUAGAAUUGUAUUGAUAGGAAACUCAGAUACAUGUGUGGAUACAUAGACAACACCAUGUCCCUAGUAAGCCUCUAGUUGACUAGCUCGUUGAUCAAUAGAUGGUUACGGUUUCCUGACCAUGGACAUUGGAUGUCAUUGAUAACGGGAUCACAUCAUUAGAAGAAUGAUGUGAUGGACAAGACCCAAUCCUAAGCCUAGCACAAAGAUCGUGUAGUUCGUAUGCUAAAGCUUUUCUAAUGUCAAGUAUCAUUUCCUUAGACCAUGAGAUUGUGCAACUCCUGGAUACCAUAGGAAUACUUUGGGUGUGCCAAACGUCACAACGUAACUGGGUGGCUAUAAAGGUACACUACAGGUAUCUCCGAAGUGUCUGUUGGGUUGGCAUGAAUCGAGACUGGGAUUUGUCACUCCGUGUAAACGGAGAGGUAUCUCUGGGCCCACUCGGUAGGACAUCAUCAUAAUGUGCACAAUGUGACCAAGGAGUUGAUCACGGGAUGAUGUGUUACGGAACGAGUAAAGAGACUUGCCGGUAACGAGAUUGAAUAAGGUAUCGGGAUACCGACGAUCGAAUCUCGGGCAAGUAUCGUACCGCUAGACAAAGGGAAUUGUAUACGGGAUUGAUUAAGUCCUUGACAUCAUGGUUCAUCCAAUGAGAUCAUCGUGGAACAUGUGGGAGCCAACAUGGGUAUCCAGAUCCCGCUGUUGGUUAUUGACCGGAGAGCCAUCUUGGUCAUGUCUACAUGUCUCUCGAACCCGUAGGGUCUACACACUUAAGGUUCGAUGACGCUAGGGUUAUAAGGAAUAGAUAUACGUGGUUACCGAAUGUUGUUCGGAGUCCCGGAUGAGAACCCAGACGUCACAAGGAGUUCCGGAAUGGUCCGGAGGUAAAGAUUUAUAUAUGGGAAGUCCUGUUUUGGUCGCCGGAAAAGUUUUGGGGUUUUUCGGUAGCGUACCGGGACCACCGGGAGGGUCCCGGGGGUCCACCAAGUGGGGCCACAAGCCCCAGAGGGCUACAUGGGCCAAGUGUGGGAGGGGACCAGCCCCAUGUCACAUCCCUAGUUCUAUUAAUGCCUAGUGCUAGCAUCUGGUGUUGCAUCAUGUUUAAAUUUCAGUUAAACCUGAAAUGGGGAUUGCCUAAACCCUAGCACCAAAUGAAUUCAACUAGGUUCAAUAAAAAAAAUAUUUUCAACGAUCCCAAUUGCCCUUUAGAAAAGUUCAUGAUUUUUGUUAAAGGUGAAAACCUCUGCCAAAAGUCAUGCACAUAUUUCUAGGCCAUUCUGGAUUUUUGAACUAAAUCAUAUAGUAUUUGAAUUUGGGCAUUUAAAUACUAUAAAAUAAUUAAAAUGUUCAAAUAAUCCUAAACUGAAAUGUUCCAUGUUGGAUAUAUUCCAAACAGUGGCCAUGAGCAGUUUGGAGAUUUUUGAGUGUGCCUAAGUAUUUUUAAUAAAGCCCAGAACAAAAUAACAAAAUAGAAAAGAGAAAUAAAAUAGAAAUGGAGAGAGAGAACCUCACCUGGCCUCACUGUGCAGCCCACCUAGUCGGGCCAGCUGGCGGCCCAGCCAGCUGGCCAGCCCACCGAGGGCAGGGGCGUCUUCUUCCUCCUGCCAGAAGGCAGAGGAGAAGACAGCCACGGCGCCGCGGCGUGCCAUGCCGGCAGCUGCCUGCCUGGCUGCCCCCUCGUCGCCCUGGACUCCCUCUGCGACGCCACGCUACCCCCCUGGACCCCCUUGAUGCUCUCGCUCUCUCCCUCGCUCUCUGCUCCCUCUACCGAGCACACACGAGCGGAGCUCGUCGUCGCCGACGCAAUUUGCCGCGACCACCGCCGUCCCAACGAUGCCCCGAGCUGUUCCCGAGCUCCUCCACCUCGUCGCCAACCUCCUCACCGACUCACGCCACCAGGAGAGCCCCGAAACGACGGCCUCAACGUCAUCUCCAACCACGGCUGACCGAGAUCGCCGCCGUCAAUUCGCCGUCGCAGAAGCUUCCCCGAGCCCGCUGAGUUUCUCUCCCGACCCCUUGUGAGCUCCUGCACCUUCCCUAUGCUCGCCCCCUCUCCGUUUCUCUCCGCUAGCUCGAUUCCGCUGGAGCCGAGAGCUCAUCGCCGCCGUCCAUGGUGCCGCCGUCGUUUUAGCCACCAUAGCUCGUGCCUGAUCGCGUCAACGCGUUCGGUGCCUUCCCAGGAGCAUGCAGCUCCCACCAGCUCCUCCUCCCGAGCACCCUAACGCCGAGCCCGCACCAACCCCGAACUCCGGCCGCCGCCUUUGAGCUCGUGGCCGUCGACUCCGGCCACCCCAGGCCCGGCUACUGCCACCAGGUGACACGCUGCAACGCCAGCUACCCGUAGAGCCCAACCGCGGCUCAAACCGCAGCCUGUACACGAAACCCGAGCAACUCCGGCGAGUUGCCGCCACGGUUUUGGUCGCCGGCGACUUAACUCCGGCCGUGCCGACGUGGCACCAUCAUUAGUGGCUAAUGACGCCACUAAACUAACCCCUAGCUCACUGACGAAUGGACCCCACAGUUAAUUAACCCCGGGUUUAGUUUCCUGUUUAGAUUAGUGCUAACCCUAUGGACCCCACGUGUCAGCUUUGACGUUGGUCAAGUCAACAUUGGCCGGUCCCACUUGUCAUCCACCCAAACCAGCCUGAGACACUGACGUGUGGGUCCCAGUCAUCAGGUUUGACCUGGGCUGACGCCUUUGACCUGCUGAUGUCACGGUGACGUAAUGUUGAUGCAAUAAUUCAUUUUCUGGAAUUAGUUAAUUCUAAAUAAUUCAGAAAAUUCCAGAAAAUUGCCUAAACUUCUAAAAAUCAUAGAAAUUCAACCGUAACUCCAAAUAAAAUAAAUUAUAUAUGUAAAAUUAUCAGAAAAAUUCAAGGAAUCCAUCUGUACACUUUUCAUGCAUGUUUGAACAAUGUUUGUCCUCUGUUUUGGACAAAACAAAUACAGGGCACUUAAAUAAACAUAUAUGGAGUUGGAAUUUGAAUCUUGUAUUCAAACCAACUUCAUUUAAAUCAUAACUAGAUGCAUUAGCUCAAAUCACAGCAUAUUGCCAUGUCAUGAUCAUGCAUCAUAUUGUCGCAUAUGCAUUGAUUGUGUUCUUCUCUUUUGCCGGUGUUUGUCCCCCUUCAGUAGACGACGUUCUGACGAUGUGUUCGAUGACACUGAUGAAAAACUAUUACUAUCUUCAGAAGUGCCAGGCAAGCACAACUCGCUUGUUCAUUCUGAUACAAGCCCACUCUCUCGCUCCUGCUCUCUUUUACUGCAUUAGGACAACAACGAUCAUCUGUUACUUGUUGCGGUAGUUGAACCCCUUAUCCUCUGCAUGACCUGUCAUUGCCACAGUAAAUAGAUGAAACCCACUAGCAUGAGUAGGAGUUGUUUGAGCCCUGAUGUGCCUACUCAUUCAUGCUUGUUUGUCAUGCCUGCUACUGCUUAGAGUUGGGUCAGGUCUGAUUCAUCGGGGAUGAAUCGGAGGUGUGUAAACAUGCCCUACUGUGUGUGAGCUAAGUGUGUGAAAACGUUUUGGUAAAGGUAGCGGUGAGAGACCAUGUAGGAGUACAUGGUGGGUUGUCUCAUUGAAACCGUCCUCGGGAACUGAGUUCUGUGUCUGUGAUCCAUGAACAGCUACUACCACUCAUUGGGAUCCUUAAUUGACCCUCUCAGCUUCUUAAUCACCCUAGUACUCUGUCCAGGAGUUGCAACUAGUUUCUGGUGUUUGUAGGUUAUGUGUUGGCGGCCGUGCGUAGCGCUGACCCUAGGGGUGGGCUAUGAUGCGGUAGAUACACCAUGGCCGGGCAUGCCGGGCGCCCGUUUGGUGUCUCGGAACCCUGUACACAUCAUUCAGGGCCGUAUGUGGAAACCUCGGCCGGACUCCCUGCGGAUGGAACCUGGAUAGGCGAUAAACCUGGACUAGAGACUUGAGUGUUUAGGUAGGCCGUGGCCGACACCCUCGUUGGGCUUCCGCUUGAAGGUUGCCGAGUACAUGUCAUGUAAAUGGCGGUAAGUGGUGAGAGCGUGUGUGAAGAAGUACACCCCUGCAGGGUUAACAUCAUCUAUUCGAAUAGCCGUGUCCACGGUAAUGGACUUCUGGGUUGCCUAUAACAGUUCAUAGACAAGUGAAAAUGGAUACUCUAAAACUCGCAAGAUAAGUGUGAGUGCUAUGGAUGGCCUUCUCGUAGGGACACGGGAGCGGAUCCAUAGUGGUGUAUUGAAUGGUGAAUAUGUGGACUCGUGUGCGCCACCUCAAAAGAGUUGCUUGCAGUCGUAGUUCAGGUUAGCCACUGAGUCAAAGCUGGCUUGCUGCAGUUAAACUCCACCACCCCCCCUUUAUUGAUACUGAUGCAUAUGUAGAUAGUUCUGAUGUAAGUCUUGCUUGGUACAUUUGUACUCACGUUUGCCUAUUUUAUGUUUUGCAGAGAGACGUCAGUCUCACUAGUAGUUCCGUGUGGACUUUGACGUUAGCUUGAUACCUCAGCUACGAUCUUGUGCCCUCGGCAGGAUCUGGUAGAUAGUCAGGCUUCUCAGCCUUUUUCAUUUGUAGAUGUCUGUACUCAGACAUGUUAAGCUUCCGCUUGGGUUUUGACUUGUAUGCUCUGGAUGUUGGGCCAUGAGACCCAUGUUUGUAAUAUCUCGCUCCUCGGAGCCUGAUGAGUAAAUACUUGAGUCGUAGAGUCUUGUUGUGAUGCCAUGUUGUAUUUACACAUAUCGAGCAUAUUGUGUGUAUGAUUGAAAUGCUUGGUAUGUGUGGGAUCCGACAAUCUAGUUGUUUAUCCUUGGCAGCCUCUCUUAUGGGGAAAUGUAGUCUAGUUCUUCCAUGAGCCAUAGUAGUCCGCUACAGCCGGUUCGCCGGAGUCCUGCUAGCCCAGCACUACUGCUCAGGACACUUAACUGGCCGGCAUGUGUUUCACUUCGUUCCCGUGUCUGUCCCUUUGGGGAAAUGUCACGCGGUGACAUCCGGAGUCCUGCCUAGCCUGCUACAGCCCGGGUUACCGGAGUCCUGUUAGCCCAGUGCUACAGCCCGGAUUCACACGCUGCUGACCGACAUGCUCGAUGUGAUUCAUGUAUGUCUGUUCCCAUAGGUUGGUGCCGCUUUGGGUUCACGACUAGCCAUGUCGGCCUGGGUUCCCUGUCAUAUGGAUGCUAGCGACACUAUCAUAUACGUGAGCCAAAAGGCGCAAACGGUCCCGGCCAUGGUAAGGCGACACCCAUGGGAAUACCGUGCGUGAGGCCGUAAAGUGAUAUGAGGUGUUACCGGCUAGAUCAAUGUGACUUGGAAUCGGGGUCCUGACAGCAUUGGUAUCAGAGCCUGACUACCUGUAGGAUUACCAAGCCAAACUGGUCGAAGUCGAGUCUAGAAAUGCUUUAGUUAUGUAAGGGAAUUGAUUGUGGAAGGGAACGUAAGGUUCUUUUUACUCCUUUACCCUAUGCCCUUCUGAUCUGAGUCAACCUCUUCUUUUCUACGGGGAUUAAGAAUUAGGCCUUCUCAUCUAUCUAUCAGGAUGAUGUGCUACUAAUCCAUAGACUUAUAUAAUUGAUAGUUUCAAGCUUCAGUUCCGUUCCUACUACUUCCGUAUGUUGACAGUUGAUCUCAGAACCUUGAUAUUGUGUUGUUGAGUGGUUAUGCCACCAUUUUGCAGGAUGUCUCAAAUCAUUUUGAGCAUUUACAAUCUUUAUGCUGUCCGAGUCAUCCCAGGUUUCUAACUAGUCUGAUGCAUUUGCAAAUUCCUUCUUCCGUUACCGACGUUCCUUUGGGCCAGUUUAUCCACACUAAUCGGUGAGUUGAGGUACUCUGUUGCCUCGACAUAUAUGUUGGAGCUAUUAUUAUGACCCUAGGUGUUGUAGGGAGUCACCUAGUAAUCUAGCCAUGUUUUGUGUUCCCGGUGUGAUAAUUCUGACCACCAUUCUCGAAAGCAUCCCGUGAUGCCAUUUAGUGGUAGGUAUUCUAUUCAUGGGUUCUUGAACCCGAGAUUCCUCCUACUUAUCUCAUGUUGAUAGUGUUGCUAGUUCCUUUAGGAUAUUAGUAACCUUUGCGAUAGUCCUCGAGGUCCGUGGUAUUUCCUCCUUCCAAAUACUAUGAACCACUUAUGGCAGAAGUUUGUUGGAUCAAAAGAUCACAACCAGAGUGCUCUUGAUGAGUUCUCCAUUCUGCAUUGUGAAUCUGCCAGUCCUACCUUUCUUCAUGGGUUAUCCGGAAGAAAUAACAUGCUAAUCCAUGCAUCCAUACCUCAGAAAAAUUAUAUGUUCCUUUGAGUUGUUCCUCUUUAGUUGUAUUCUGAACCUCGUCCAUCAAUUGUUGGUCAAGAGUAGUUGUGCAUUGGUGUUAUCGAUGCCUAUUAUUCAUGUGAUCCGUCAAGCCAUUCCAUUCCGGAAUGACUAGGAGAAACAAACUCCAGUACCUCAUCCAUAUCCAGGAUUGGGUCAAAGCAGUUGUAUUCCGCGGAUCAAAGUGACAAUCCAGCUUUUGAUUCUGUUCAACCCUUAAGUAUUGCCCACUUUAUGUCAGGAAUAUCAUAGGAAUUGCACAACCUCCUAUGAACUCUUGAUACAGUGAUACUUCUCACCGUCAUUAUUCAUUCCUCGGUUCCGUGUUGUUGUAACCGGGAUGCCGACAAGUGAAUUGUGAUGUGUGAAAUCAAUACUCCAAGAAACUCGUUGCUUUGUAGUAAUGGACAAUAUUCUUAUUCCUAGCGUGUUGGUUUUUGAGCUACCAUUCUAAGAUUGACCGUGCUACCUAGUCCAUAUCUCCGGGUGCACUCAUCGACCAAUGAGUUAGGAUUGUGACAAUCCCUCGCUCCUUGAUCAUAUCGUCUUGCCCUGAAAAGCAAGAUUGUUCUCGAGCUUAAUAACAUAUCAGUGGUUCAUGAUUUUCCGAAUAUUUUCUCGGAAGUAUUACUAGGUUGUUCCCUGAUCGCUAUGUUGAGUUCGUGAUCAUGCUGGUUUUUCUCUAAACCAUCCAUUCUCCAAGAAUCUGUGUUGGAUACCCCCGAGCUAGAUGGUUAAGCUAAACAACAACUUGGAGAUUUGGAAGAUAAAAGGCUUUGCCGAAUUUGGUUCUUUCUGAAGGGAUAUCUUUGUGUUGUGGGUGUGUUGAAGAAAGAUGAUAUCUUCACCAAUUGGUCCUCGUGAUCAGUUGUUGGAUCUGUUAUCUUGUCAAAACUUUGACUUGAGUAUGGGCUAUUGUCGAGUCAAAUCAGAACCAACGAUGUUCGUAGUGUUGUCUUACUCGUGGUUGAUCCCUCGAGAAUACACCAUUACAUCUUUUGGUCUGACCAAUGCUAUCACCGUGUUCACAUGAUGGUGGAAGUCCAGUGAUAUGGAAAUUCCGAUGAGUUGUUAUUGAGCCCAUCAGCAACAUUUUGUCUCCUCCAUGAUUCGUGUUGAACAUCCAGCUAGUGUUGGAAAUUUUGUAAGCAUUAUCUUCGUGAUCCGUUCAUGAAGCCUGUGCUUGGAUGAAAGGAGUGACUUCCUUUGAUUCACGUCCAUUAGAUGUAAGUUGUCGCCGUGAAUUCAAGAAAGCUUGUUUUUGUUUCCUCUAGAAUCAUCCCAAAUCAGUCAUGCAUACGUGCGAAGUAUUCUAUGGUUUGGUAGAUUGAUUACCUCCACUCCAUAUGUAUUCCCUAGCACACCAAGCCACUAAUUGAUUUGUUCAAGGAGAAGAAGUUCCUUCCUAAGAGCAAGACUUAUGUAAGGACUUCGAUAUCCUUGAUGAUGGUUCCCCACCGAACUCGGUAGUGUUUUACUGUAAGACUACUACGUGGUCAUGCUUGUCUUGGACAACGGGUUCACAGGUUUGUAGUAGAACCAGCUCAUGUUUUGGAGCUUAUUAUCGUAGUUCAUUCCCCGAGAAUCUCGCAACGUCAUCUCAUCGAUUUGUGUUGCAAACCUUCAUUUUCCUUUCUAGACUCGAUGAGUCUGGAAUAUCCUGUCACCAACCAGAUCUGAAUCUCAGGCAGAUAUGAUGGUUGGAGCAUUUCCCAAGAACUAUAAUAUUGGUCCCUCAAUAACCGGUAAAGUGGAUGUCAUGGCCAACACAUCCAGCCGGAAGGCCUAUUAUUGUAGUAUCUCGAUUGAAGAAAGUUUGCCACCUCCCCAUGAGGAUUUCGUAGGAUUUACCUCCGUAGUUAAUCCUUACGGAUUCUUGUGCUCCCGAAGUCCGACCUUUACUUGAUGUCCUAGAUACCAAACCGUAUCAAUAAAUGGGUUAUCCUAGCACAUCAAGGAAAACAUUUGAAGCGGAGUGCUAAAUGUCUCUCGGUCGAUCAUCCAGAUUUUGUUUCCUUGGCCUCACUAAGGUGAAAUCUGAGAAAGUGUUAUCUUCCUUUGCAUCUGCAUUAUCCAUCACCAUUCAUCAUGGUGGUAUGUUGUGUUGCCAGGAUCCUUGACAUGGAUAUUGGUAAAACCUUGAUGAAUAUGGAGAUGCUCAAGUUCUUGAGAGCACGCGCAAGCACUAGGUUUUAUCGUUGGCAUUAACUGGGAUUUGCUUCAUGUUUCCUCGGUUAUGUUAUAACCUUUUCAAACAGUGGACUCACUCUAGACUGUUGAGCUCUCCCCAGUUACUAGAAUCAUUCCUAGCAUUUGCAUUUUGUUCCCAGCUUGCACCGCCAUUGUGUCAUCCUACUACGGACUACCCUUCUCAGUAAUUACUGAUCAGGAUCAACUUCAAAGUGGUCCUACCACAAGUUCCAUCCAUCUCCGAUGAUAAGCAAAAAUCAUCCAUUGUGUUGUCUUCAACAAGGUAGUCCACAUCAUCCAUCCUAGUCCAAGUAUGCCAUCUCUUCAAGCUACCUCAAACGAUCAAUUGUAAAUUGCCUUAAGCUGGUAUGAAGAGUUUCAAUGAUCUCUGAAUCAAAAGUAAUUCUUUUUGCCACUUAAGGGAAUAUUUCUGCGAGUCACUUUCCUUAAGAUGUCUCGUUAUGGUAUCAUGGCAAUUUCCCUCGCUACUUUGAAACCCUCGUCAAAUUGUUUCUUCUAUCGCUCUUGAUGCAAGUUUUGCCUCUCAGCUCCAGAGAUGUUCCUAUGUCUCACUCCAUGAGUUGAUCCUGAGUUGUUCGAUCUUCGAGAAGAUCGAUCCUUCUAGAGUUUUCCCUUCCCUCUCGUUGUCAUGUUGGUUGGAGUUCUCAGAGCAAGACAUCGAGACAAUGAUGGUGAUCGAAUCAACAACCUUAUGAGAUGCAACCUGGAUCAUCAAGAUUAUGUUAGCUUGUGUUUCCCCUUCAUCUUACCUCACGUCUUGAAUCUCGGGCCGAGCUUCUUGUUUAGAGGGGGUGAGUUGUCACAUCCCUAGUUCUAUUAAUGCCUAGUGCUAGCAUCUGGUGUUGCAUCAUGUUUAAAUUUCAGUUAAACCUGAAAUGGGGAUUGCCUAAACCCUAGCACCAAAUGAAUUCAACUAGGUUCAAUAAAAAAAUAUUUUCAAUGAUCCCAAUUGCCCUUUAGAAAAGUUCAUGAUUUUUGUUAAAGGUGAAAACCUCUGCCAAAAGUCAUGCACAUAUUUCUAGGCCAUUCUGGAUUUUUGAACUAAAUCAUAUAGUAUUUGAAUUUGGGCAUUCAAAUACUAUAAAAUAAUUAAAAUGUUCAAAUAAUCCUAAACUGAAAUGUUCCAUGUUGGAUAUAUUCCAAACAGUGGCCAUGAGCAGUUUGGAGAUUUUUGAGUGUGCCUAAGUAUUUUUAAUAAAGCCCAGAACAAAAUAACAAAAUAGAAAAUAGAAAUAAAAUAGAAAUGGAGAGAGAGAACCUCACCUGGCCUCACUGUGCAGCCCACCUAGUCGGCCCAGCUGGCGGCCCAGCCAGCUGGCCAGCCCACCGAGGACAGGGGCGUCUUCUUCCUCCUGCCAGAAGGAAGAGGAGAAGACAGCCACGGCGCCGCGGCGUGCCACGCCGGCAGCUGCCUGCCUGGCUGCCCCCUCGUCGCCCUGGACUCCCUCUGCGACGCCACGCUACCCCCUGGACCCCCUUGACGCUCUCGCUCUCUCCCUCGCUCUCUGCUCCCUCUCCCAAGCACACCCGAGCGGAGCUCGUCAUUGCUGACGCAAUUUGCCGCGACCACCGCCGUCCCAAUGAUGCCCCGAGCUGUUCCCGAGCUCCUGCACCUCGUCGCCAACCUCCUCACCGACUCAUGCCACCAGGAGAGCCCCGAAGCGACGGCCUCAACGUCAUCUCCAACCACGGCUGACCGAGAUCGCCGCCGUCAAUUCGCCGUCGCAGAAGCUUCCCCGAGCCCGCUGAGUUUCUCUCCCGACCCCUUGUGAGCUCCUGCACCUUCCCUAUGCUCGCCCCCUCUCUGUUUCCCUCUGCUAGCUCGAUUCCGCUGGAGCCGAGAGCUCAUCGCCACCGUCCAUGGUGCCGCCAUCGUUUUAGCCACCAUAGCUCGUGCCUGAUCGCGUCAACGCGUUCGGUGCCUUCCCAGGAGCACGCAGCUCCCACCAGCUCCUCCUCCCGAGCACCCUAACGCCGAGCCCGCACCAACCCCGAACUCCGGCCGCCACCUUUGAGCUCGUGGCCGCCGACUCCGGCCACCCCAGGGCCGGCUACUGCCACCAGGCGACGCGCUGCAACGCCAGCUACCCGUAGAGCCCAACCGCGGCUCAAACCGCGGCCUGUACACGAAACCCGAGCAACUCCGGCGAGUUGCCGCCACGGUUUUGGUCGCCGGCAACUUAACUCCGGCCGUGCCGACGUGGCACCAUCAUUAGUGGCUAAUGACGCCACUAAACUAACCCCUAGCUCACUGACGAAUGGACCCCACACCUAAUUAACCCCGGGUUUAGUUUCUUGUUUAGAUUAGUGCUAACCCUAUGGACCCCACGUGUCAGCUUUGACUUUGGUCAAGUCAACGUUGGCCGGUCCCACUUGUCAUCCACCCAAACCAGCCUGAGACACUCACGUGUGGGUCCCAAUCAUCAGGUUUAACCUGGGCUGACGCCUUUGACCUGCUGAUGUCACGGUGACGUAAUGUUGACGCAAUAAUUCAUUUUCUGGAAUUAGUUAAUUCUAAAUAAUUCAGAAAAUUCCAAAAAAUUGCCUAAACUUCUAAAAAUCAUAGAAAUUCAACCGUAACUCCAAAUAAAAUAAAUUAUAUAUGUAAAAUUAUCAGAAAAAUUCAAGGAAUCCAUCUGUACCCUUUUCAUGCAUGUUUGAACAAUAUUUGUCCUCUGUUUUGGACAAAACAAAUACAAGGCAUUUAAAUAAACAUAUAUGGAGUUGGAAUUUGAAUCUUGUAUUCAAACCAACUUCAUUUAAAUCAUAACUAGAUGCAUUAGCUCAAAUCACAGCAUAUUGCCAUGUCAUGAUCAUGCAUCAUAUUGUCGCAUAUGCAUUGAUUGUGUUCUUCUCCUUUGCCGGUGUUUGUCCCCCUUCAGUAGACGACGUUCCGACGAUGUGUUCGAUGACACCGAUGAAAAGCUAUUACUAUCUUCAGAAGUGCCAGGCAAGCACAACCCCCUUGUUCAUUCUGAUACAAGCCCACUCUCUCGCUCCUGCUCUCUUUUACUGCAUUAGGACAACAACGAUCAUCUGUUACUUGUUGCGGUAGUUGAACCCCUUAUCCUCUGCAUGACCUGUCAUUGCCACAGUAAAUAGAUGAAACCCACUAGCAUGAGUAGGAGUUGUUUGACCCCUGAUGUGCCUACUCAUUCAUGCUUGUUUGUCAUGCCUGCUACUGCUUAGAGUUGGGUCAGGUCUGAUUCAUCAGGGAUGAAUCGGAGGUGUGUAAACAUGUCCUACUGUGUGUGAGCUAAGUGUGUGAACACGUUUUGGUAAAGGUAGCGGUGAGAGGCCAUGUAGGAGUACAUGGUGGGUUGUCUCAUUGAAACCAUUCUCAGGAACUGAGUUCUGUGUCUGUGAUCCAUGAACAGCUACUACCACUCAUUGGGAUCCUUGAUCGACCCUCUCGGCUUCUUAAUCACCCUAGUACUCUGUCCAGGAGUUGCAACUAGUUUUUGGUGUUUGUAGGUUAUGUGUUGGCGGCCGUGCAUAGCGCUGACCCUAGGGGUGGGCUAUGAUGUGGUAGAUACAUCGUGGCCGGGCAUGCCGGGCGCCCGUUUGGUGUCUCGGAACCCUGUACACAUCGUUCGGGGCCGUAUGUGGAAACCUCGGCCGGACUCCCUGCGGAUGGAACCUGGAUAGGCGAUAAACCUGGACUAGAGACUUGAGUGUUUAGGUAGGCCGUGGCCGACACCCUCGUUGGGCUUCCGCUUGAAGGUUGCCGAGUACAUGUCGUGUAAACGGCGGUAAGUGGUGAGAGCGUGUGUGAAGAAGUACACCCCUGCAGGGUUAACAUCAUCUAUUCGAAUAGCUGUGUCCGCGGUAAUGGACUUCUGGGUUGCCUAUAACAGUUCAUAGACAAGUGAAAAUGGAACUCUAAAACUCGCAAGAUAAGUGUGAGUGCUAUGGAUGGCCUUCUCGUAGGGAGACGGGAGCGGAUCCAUAGUGGUGUAUUGAAUGGUGAAUAUGUGGACUCGUGUGCGCCACCUCAAAAGAGUUGCUUGCAGUCGUAGUUCAGGUUAGCCACUGAGUCAAAGCUGGCUUGCUGUAGUUAAACUCCACCACCCCCCUUUAUUGAUACCGAUGCAUAUGUAGAUAGUUCUGAUGUAAGUCUUGCUGGGUACAUUUGUACUCACGUUUGCCUAUUUUAUGUUUUGCAGAGAGACGUCAGUCUCGCUAGUAGUUCCGUGUGGACUUCGACGUUAGCUUGAUACCUCAGCUACGAUCUUGUGCCCUCGGCAGGAUCUGGUAGAUAGUCAGGCUUCUCAGCCUUUUUCAUUUGUAGAUGUCUGUACUCAGACAUGUUAAGCUUCCGCUUGUGUUUUGACUUGUAUGCUCUGGAUGUUGGGCCAUGAGACCCAUGUUUGUAAUAUCUCGCUCCUCGGAGCCUGAUGAGUAAAUACUUGAGUCGUAGAGUCUUGUUGUGAUGCCAUGUUGUAUUUACACAUAUCGAGCAUAUUGUGUGUAUGAUUGAAAUGCUUGGUAUGUGUGGGAUCCGACAAUCUAGUUGUUUAUCCUUGGCAGCCUCUCUUAUGGGGAAAUGUAGUCUAGUGCUUCCAUGAGCCAUAGUAGUCCGCUACAGCCCAGUUCACCGGAGUCCUUCUAGCCCAGCACUACUGCUCAGGACACUUGACUAGCCGGCAUGUGUUUCACUUCGUUCCUGUGUCUGUCCCUUUGGGGAAAUGUCACGCGGUGACAUCCGGAGUCCUGCCUAGCCUGCUACAGCCCGGGUUACCGGAGUCCUGUUAGCCUAGUGCUACAGCUCGGAUUCACACGCUGCUGACCGACAUGCUCGAUGUGAUUCAUGUAUGUCUGUUCCCAUAGGUUGGUGCCGCUUUGGGUUCACGACUAGCCAUGUCGGCCCGGGUUCCCUGUCAUAUGGAUGCUAGUGACACUAUCAUAUACGUGAGCCAAAAGGCGUAAACGGUCCCGGCCAUGGUAAGGCGACACCCGUGGGAAUACCGUGCGUGAGGCCGCAAAGUGAUAUGAGGUGUUACCGGCUAGAUCAAUGUGACUUGGAAUCGGGGUCCUGACACCCCAGGUGGGCUGGUGCGCCCCGCCCCCCCCCCCACACACACACACAAGGGCCCAAGGCGCCUCCAAGAGGGAAAGGGGGCAAACCCUAGGGCAGAUGGGCCCUAAGGCCCACCCCAGGUGCGCCUCCCCCUCUCCCCCUUGUGGCCGCCACCCAGAUGGGAUCUGGGGGCUGCCGCCACCCCUAGGGAGGGAACCCUAGGUGGGGGCGCAGCCCCUCCCCUUCCCCUAUAUAUACUUGAGGUUUGGGCUGCCCAACACACAUGAGUUUCUGACCUCUCCCUGGCGCAGCCCUACCUCUCUUUCUCAUCAUAUCUCGCGGUGCUUGGCGAAGCCCUGCUGGAGUACCACGCUCCUCCACCACCACCACGCCGUUGUGCUGCUGCUGGAUGGAGCCUUCCUCAACCUCUCCCUCUCUCCUUGCUGGAUCAAGGCAUGGGAGACGUCAUCGGGCUGUACGUGUGUUGAACGCGGAGGUGCCAUCCGUUUGGCACUAGGAUCUCCGGUGAUUUGGAUCACGACGAGUAUGACUCCAUCAACCCCGUUCUCUUGAACGCUUCCGCUUAGCGAUCUACAAGGGUAUGUAGAUGCACUCUCCUUCCCCUCGUUGCUGGUUUCUCCAUAGAUAGAUCUUGGUGACACGUAGGAAAAUUUUGAAUUUCUGCUACGUUCCCCAACAGUUUGGGGGUUAAAGACUUACACAGACAAAACAUCAGUCUCCUCACCAAAUGGUGGUGGAAGCUGGAAACCCAACAAGGCCUUUGGCAGGAGAUUAUUCGUGCUAAAUACUUCAGAAAUGACAUGGUUCCCUCGGUGAAGAGUAAAUUUGGGGAUUCCCCCGUUUGGAAAGCUAUUAUGAAAGUAAAGGAAAUUUAUUUGGCAGGUAGAGAGGUGAUUUUAAACUCUGGGAAUAUAGCCAGAGUCUGGAAUGACCCCAUUAGGGGUGCUGCUCCCUUGCGUGUUAAAUUUCCGAUCUUGUUCAGUAUCUAUAAUUAUCAGGAGAUUACUGUUGCUGAAUUUAAAAAGUUUGAGGGGGGUGAUCUUUUUAGAAGGAACCUGCAUCCACCUCUUGUGGAUCAGUGGAAUGAUCUAGUUAAGGUGGUGAACUCUUGGCAAUUGUCCGAUGAGACGGACUAUAUUAGCUGGAGAUUGGGAAAAAAGAAAGGUAAAUUCUCGACCAAAUCGGUCUAUACCUAUUUGGAAAGAACCCUGGCGGGGUGUGAUUUCAUAUGGAUAUGGAAAGCAAAAAUCCCUCUUAAGAUUCAAAUCUUUCUCUGGCAAUUGUUCCAAGAUGCGGUUUUGACUCGAGAAGUCAUGAAAAAGAGAAAAUGGACAAGAAAUCCCAAAUGCUCUUUCUGCAAUGAGGUGGAAACCUCACAGCAUCUUUUAUUUACUCCACCAAGGCAAAAAAGCUUCGAGAAUGUGUUUACCUCCAUCGACGACGAACUGAUUCUACUCCACCAAGGCAAAAAAGCUUCGAGACUGUGUUUACCCGUUUGGUGGAUCGCACUCCUGCGCGAGUGUCUUUUGCUCUCCUGUGUUUUGCCUACGAGCAGGGCGUUGUAGUACUGUUAUGAUUCCUGUUGGAGUUUUCCUUGAUCUGGUUAGGUCUUGUGGUUUGCGUGAUGCUAGGUGUCACUGGGUUUUCGCCCCGCGAUGGGCUGCUCGAUGAGGAGUGCUCAUAGUGGGUUUCCGAGUGAUGCUUUGAUCUCGCCUUACCCCUUUCUUGCUUCCUUAUGCUGUAGUCGUUUAUGCUGGGUCUGUGUUCGUUGAACUUUAAACUUUGUAUUUCCGUUAUGCAAUUAAUGGAAAGGGGUUAUGGCCCGGGUCAAAAAAAAAUACAAGCGUCCUUGAGACUGCCCAACAUCACAGAUUCGUCCUUGAGAGUGCCCAACAUCACAGGUGUUUGGCAUUUGAAUCUCCCUCCAAACUUUCCCCUCCAUGUCGACUGUGGCUAUUCUCUUAUCAAGGGUAGGCAAAUGGAUAGUGCCAUUCAGGAAGACCUGGGUGUAUAUACCAUGAUUCACGAGAGGAUCUUUUGUCCACUUACUUUGCACAUGAGUCCACCCUCCAGUUUCUGUCGAGUAGAUUGACACUUUUCCGGAAUCGUUCAUACCAACCAUCUGGCUCUCGGGGGCAAACACCACAAAGCGGGAUGGAAUAGCAUGGUCGAAACCUAGGAAAGGGAUGGGAUCGGGACCUGGAAAUCCGACAGGAGGCAGCACAGUCCACUCUUGGGUAGCAGGAUUGCAGACAACAUAAUAGGAUUCAUCUCGCAGAUUAUCCGAGCAGCUGCACAGGAGAAGGCCGCCGCAGACGUGUUGGACAGAAAUGUGGCGGUACCUUUGGCGCAAGAAAGGGAGAGAGGGGUCGACAAGUGGCGGACAUCUUCCAUUCAAAUUGCGGAAAUUGAGGACACGGGCGUUCUUGUAGAAGAAGCCGGAGAGGGUCUGUUGCGACCUCUUGCGGAUGUCCGGGGCAGAGCAGAGGGCGAGCCACAGCUUGGACACGCACUUGAAGCGGCAGAGCGACCUGUAGGGCACACGCAAAAGGAUCUCGACGAGGGCGCCCUCGGGGAGGCUCGGCAUGAUCUGCUGCUCUUGCUCCAGCUUCUGCACCUGCUUCUUCUUCACAUCCUGUAAAUGAUGGAGAUGAUGACUCGUUUAGGCUCCCGAUCCCCUUUCUUGGAUCGACGACAAUUGACGGGGCCAGUCGAGGAUCUUGUUCUAAAAGAGAAAGAACAUUGCAGAAGCAUGGAGCAAACCUCGGAAGCCACCGGGACAAUGGCGAGGAGCGGCGGCGUAGAAUGGGGCAGAGCGUCUUCGUCGCGACGGACGAUGGCCGGCGGGUGGCUCUGCACCGUGCAGCCAUGCUCGCCCCCUCCUUCUCCUCCUAGCGGCAUGACCUCCUCUCCGGCUGGCGCUAGGGUUCGUGAAAUCGUGAUGGGGCGUGACUGCGAGUGGAGUGGAGUGGCCCCGCUGAUAAUGGGCUCUCCGAUUUUUUUCUUUAUUAGCUGUGGUUCUAAAGGCGGCCCAAUUGAUUCUGAUGAUUUGUUGGCCCUCUCCACUGAAUAGUCGAACAAUUUUCUUGGUUGGUUUGUUAAUCUACGAGCCGAUGAUAAAAAAAAAAUUGCAUCAGCAGAAUGUGCAUGUACUAGAUAUGUUUUGAAUUACAACUUGUUGGCACCUGUUAGUCUUGCCUAGCUUUGUAGAAGAAGAUAUCAAUAUUCAUACUAUGAAAUCAAUAUUAUUAGAUGCAUGAUGAAAUUAAUUUUCACAAUAUAUAACUUUAGUAUUGUGAUGUCGAUAUUUUUUUACUAAAAAGUUGGUCAAACUUUACAAUGCUUGACUUUGACCAAAUCUUAUAUGCAGACUAAAAAGAAACGGAGAGAGUAAUUAAACUCAUUAAGCUACGCGUGAAGGGCGACCAACCAGCUAUGCCACAUGGCGCAAACUGGUUGGGCACGGUGAGAAAUCUUUUGAAUUUUUUUAGAUGAAGAUGUGGAUUAUUUUUUAAAAUGUAUUUUUUCUUUUUAGAUGGAGGUGAGGAGCUCUGGUAUUUUUUAAAUGGAGGGUUGUGCAAAGUGGCACUCGCUGGUUGGCUGCGGUGAUAUUUUUUCCGUUUUACUUUUUUUAGAUGAAGGUGAAGAUUUUCUUUUGAGAUGUUUUUUUAGACGGAGGCGAUGACUCUAUGUAUAUUUUGUUAAAUGGAGACAUGCGCAUAGCUUUCUCUCAAGCGGCGUCACACCCCAACCACUAGUUUUACAAUAUAGUGCAACUACCUUCCGAGGGCGCACAAGGCAAAGACGCUUCUCUUGCCAUUCGGCCCGCCUCCAGGCCCUCUCUCGCACUCAGUAGGGUGCUCUCCGGCUGGUAGCCACUGUUGACUGCUGGCCAAAGAGGACUUCGACGAGUCAAAGAGGGAUGACUCAUCGGCUAACUCAGGUACAAACCCGAUGCCUUACUAAUACUUAAGUGAUUCGGUGCUAUCUGAUUAUAGUAAGAGAGAUUCUACUAUUAAGGGGAAAUUAAGAGAAAAAUGAAGAGAUGUAGACAAAUUAACACAUGGUCUCAUGAUUUUGAGGCUAGAUGUGACGGGGAAAUCCAAACUUCUUGAGUUAUCUGAUUAAUAAACAGAAGCAGAGAUUGUUGAUUGGCCAGGAGGAUAUCAAAAGGAAUGGGUACUACCCCCCCCCCCCAUUUUGAACUAUUUUGAUGAUAAUUAUGCUGAUUUUGGGAAAAUUACAUUAAUCUCCACCAGUGUUGUUGCCCUGAACAAAGGUGGAGGGGAAUUGGAGAAAUUGGGGGGGGGGCAUUAAAGAGGCUGACGAAAAUGGGUUUUGGGGGAUCAGUAGGUAGGUUUUUAGAUCAUAUUGAGGAGGAAGUGGAACUGGGAUUUAGAUGCUAUGGGCCUCCAACUUUGGAAGCUGGCCUAGUAGUGGCCCAGAAUUUAUCCACUCCUGCUAUAUAUAUGCUGGAGAGGGCGAGCUUUUAGAAACAUACAACUUCUCUAGGGUUACCCUGACAACCGCCGCCUGACUCUGCCAUGUCAGUGAACUAUGGCAACUUUCGAGGUGGAUGGAGAUUCGGUAGGGGUGGUGGAAGAGGAAAUUUCCAGUACCAACCGAAGGAUUUUGUUAACAAAGAUGAUGUGAGUUUCGUAAGAGAUCCAAUCCCCCACCCACAAAAUAAUAAUUCGGGUAGGGGUAGAGGACAGAUCGACGCAACUGUGGGUGGUGAUGGAAAUCUGAUGCCAAGAAGGUCUCAGGCAUUAGGUGGAAAUCAGUCCUGGAGAGGUAUGGUGGGUGAAAUUGAGAUAGUUGGUUCUUCUGGUGAUAAUAACAAGUAAGAACCUGAGAAGAAGAGGGAUUAGAUCUGGAUCCAGUAGUAGCAUGGUUCUUAAUUUGGCCGCAUCCCAACAACAGUAGCCCUUGGGCGCGCUGCUUUCACAAAUACCCAAGACCAUGGCUAUUAGAGAACUGGAUAUAAGUGACAGAAAUGGUGUAGGCAACAAGGGGAAGGAUCAUGUAGGUGUUGGAAAUGGUGGUGGGGAAAAUCAAAGCAACAAAGGAUCAUCACCUGGCAGUGGAAACGUGGGAGAAUCUGGAGACUUCAAACAUGAUCACGGGCUUGGUAACUCUCUGUAAGGGAAUGAGAUGAAUAAGAAGCAAGGGGGCAGAUUUUGAAAGCAAGUUUAUGGGAAAUGUAAAGAUCCCAGGCACUCUACCAGGGAAUGCAAAGUGGGGCAUUGUUUGAUUUGUGGCAAGGAUAAUCACAUCACAGAGGAGUGUAACUAGUUGUGACAGAUGAAGCCCUUGCCAAAAUACAUUGGAUAUGCCGCCAAGGGUUUACGAGUGUUCUUGGUCCAAAGUGCUAAAGAUAUUUUGUUUGCUGAUCAUAUUCAUCCACUGGCCAUUGUAUCUUUGGAAUCGAUGUACUUGAAUGAGACUGAUUUUGUACAAGAAUUUGGGGAGAUGUUUAACUGGAGAUGGAAAUGGAGAGCUAAAAGCUAUGGCCAAAUCUAUUAUCUAAUGAGGUUUCCAAACAAAGCAAGGCUGGUGGAGUUGGCUAAAUUCAAAACUUUUAACCUGUUAGGAACUGGGGUAAUGAUCAAAGUUCAAGGGUGGACACUGGAUCAUUAGGCCAUUGGCAAAUUACACACUGCUUGGGUAAAAUUUGGUAGUGUGGCUGGUUGUUUUAGGCACUUUUUUGGGAUGUGUGAAGUAGCAGGGGCUAUUGGGCCAGUGAUGGAAAUUGAAAAGGAUACCAACACACAGGAAAAAAUUAAAGCAAAAAAUUGGAGCAAGAGAUGUGGAGAAAAUCUCACCUUCCUUUGAAAUCACUUCAAAUGACGUGCUAAUUUUUAGAGUGACUUCUGAAUUGGACAAUGUGGUGGAAAUGGGUUUGUAUAAAGAGUUUAAAAGAAGUGAAUCUCCUGAAGAUGAUUUGAUGGACAUGUAUGAAAAAGAAGAUACUAGGAAAAAAGCAAGGUAGGGGAAAACACCAGAGUGCAUUUGACAUUGGGGAGCUUGUCUUUGGCCCAGCUUGAAGAGGUUAAUAAGAAAAUAAUGCAAUGAAAACCUCCAUUGAAAAUUAUUUUGGCCCCAUUCUUCAUAACCUAGCAAAAGAAUACAAACCGGCUUGAAAAGGAUAUAGAUGUAGUACUGAGAAGAGUUCAAUCUUUGGAAGAGGAAAAGACAAGGCAAGCUGCUUUGUGGGCAAUUGAGGGGAAGAAAAUGAUUUAUUUAGAAAAAUAUAAGAAGAUGCUGGAAGCUGACUUUGCUCAACAGCAAUAAAUGACACAACAGCUGAUACGAGAGGAUGAGAAAAGAGAUCAAAUGGAAUUGGAGCAUGCUAAUAUGGAUGAUGAGGAAAUUGAGGGGUAUGUGCAAGAUAAGAAAAAAGCAACUGAAUUUGAUAAAUAUGGGGAGAACAGUGAUUAUAAUGCUUGCCAAGAAUCUGCGGAAAACUUUGGACAGAAGAUGGCCGACAAACAUGGACCUGAAACUAGAGAUUUGGAGAUUGGCAAAGAAGAGGAAUUGAGAACAAGCUUCAGUAUGAAGGUGGAGGACUUGGCCAAGAACAGAGCUGAAGCAAGGGAUAAUUAUGGUAAUGAACCUAACUCCCCUCCUUCUAUAUCUCCUUUAAUGCAUAUGACAUCUUUCAUAGGAAAUGGUUUAGGAUGCACUAUUGAUAUGGUAGAGAAAAACAUUGGGAUUAUCCAAAAAUGCAGGCUGCUAGAAAAGAGUUUUAUUGGCAAAAUAUACUAACCAGAGAGAAAAAGGAAAAGGUGAGGCCAGCACUCCAAUUCAGAUUGAUAUUGGAGAUGCUAAUAUGGCUGAACUCUGUUUUGAUAAAGAACAUUCAGACGCCAAGGUAGAAGAGAAUUAUCAUGAUCAAUUGAAAAAAAUAUUUGUUGGGGAAUUUUUUUCAAGAGGGAUCACCAGCAAUUAGCUAUGUGAAACACUCAGUUGCUAUCAACUUCCUUGAAAAAUGGAGGAAGAAGACAUAAAAUUAGAGAGGCUAAAUAUUUGCCUCUUGUUUUUUGUGAAACUGUGUGUCUGUGGAUAUAUAGAUUUGGAUAAUAAUAAACCAUUUAUAUUGGAAAAAUGAAAGGUUUUUUUGGAAUGUUAGAGGAUUGGGGCAUGAUCAUAAAAAUAGAUAUGUUAAGGAUAUGAUUGUAGAACAUAAACUUGACUUUGUGGGGCUGAUGGAAACUAUAAAAACUAGGUAUUCCAAAACUGAACUCACUUUGUGUGUGGGGGGGUGGGGAGAAAUUUUGAAUGCACUUGAAAUCCACCUAGUGGGAAAUGUGGAGGUAUUCUGGUGGGUUGGAAUAAAGAUAUUUUUGACACUAUUCGUCUUGAACAUGGUGAAUAUUUUGUCAGGGUACAUGUUUUUGAUAGACAUGCAAGUUUGAAUGGAAUUUAAUCACUAUCAAUGGUGAUGCUCAAAUUGAAAGAAAAGCUAGUUUUUUAGCUGAGCUGGCUAGAGUCUAUCAUGAUAUUGCCUUGUUUGGUGGGGGGGGGGGGUUAAUAUCAUUAGAAAGAGUGAUGAGAAAAACAAACCUAACAAUCCAGAUCAUUGGAGUUUUGUGUUUAAUGUUAUUAUAGAACAUGUUGGGCUUAGGGAGAUGUCUCUAAAUGGCAUACAAUACACUUGGGCUAAUAAUCUUCCUCAUCCAACUUAUGAGAAAUUGGAUAGGGUUCUAUGUUGUCCAGAUUAGGAGGAAAAAUAACCCUUAUCCAUACUCCAGGCAUUUGCUAGGGAGGCCUUUGAUCAUACUCCACUUUAUAUUUUGACACAAGAGCCCACACAAAUACUGAACCAAUUUUCAUAUCUAAAAAUUCUUGAGUGCUUAGAGAGGGAUUUAAGGAUUUUGUGGUUAAAGUAUGGAAUGGGGAGUAUAAAGUAGAUAAUUUGGAUAGAUGGUAAGAAAGAUUCAGAAACUUGAGGAAAAAAACUAAAGGUUGGAAUGAAAAUGUGGAUGCUUGGUAUAGGAAGAUGAAGAAAGAAAUUAUUGAUAGACUUGAUGAUUUGGAAUAAAAUGCUGAAAAUAUGGGAUUAACAGCUGCAAAUAGAGAUGAACAAAAAGAGCUAAGUGCUCAAGUAUCUAGGCUUAUGUAGUAAGAAGAACUUAAAUGGCUUCGAAGAUAUAAAGAUAAAGAGAUUAAAGAUGGAUAUGGGAACACUAGAUACUACAAUGCCAAAGUGAAUGGAGAAGACGCAUAAAAUAAAAUAAUAUCUUUAGAACAAGUAGAGGGGGUGAUUGAGGGAGAGAUUGAAUUAAUGGAGUAUAUUACUAACUUCUAUAAGAGACUAUUUGGACAGCCAGACGAGUGGAACAUUAUGCUGGGAGACCUAGAUAUGCCAAAAAAUUCUGCUAUAGAAGCUGUGGAGUUGACUGCACCUUUCUCUAUGAAAGAAAUUCAUGAGGUGAUUUUUGGUAUGGAAAAAAACAAGAGCCUUGGUCCGGAUGGAUUUCCUGCUGAUUUCUAUCUAGAAUUUUGGGAUUUGAUAAAAUGGGAUCUCAAGGACAUGGUUGACGAUUUCACUUCUGGCAAAUUUGACAUCACUAGGCUUAAUUAUGAUACCCUAAUCCCAAAAACCUCAUAUGCUAAACAAAUUUAGAAAUUUAGACCAUAUGCCUCUUGAAUGUCAGUUUUAAGAUUAUUACUAAGGUUUUUCAUGAAUAGAUUGAGUAAAGUGGUCUCUCAUGUUAUUUCUCCUACUCAAACUACUUUUGUUAAAGGGAGAUUCAUUAUGGAAGGGGUUGUGGUACUUCAUGGAGCUUUAAAUAUAGUACAUUACAAAAAACAAAAUGCUCUGAUCAUCAAAGUGGACUUUUGUUAUCAAAAUGUUGAAAAUGAAAGGAUUUUUCUGAUAAAGGUGUGACUGGAUUAUGCUAACUAUGAGAAGGGGACAUGUAGGAGUUAGGGUUGAUGAUCAAAUUGGGCCUUAUUUCAAAACCUUUAAAGGCCUUAGACAAGGGGACUCUAUGUCCCCCUUGUUGUUUGACCUUGCUGAUUAUGCUUUAGCUCUGAUCGUGGAUAAAGCAAAGAAUGAGGGGGGUUGUUAAGGGGGUGCUUGGUACUCAGUGUAACAUGGGGAUAAACAUGCUACAAUAUGAUGAUGACACUAUUUUCUUACUUCAGGAUGAUCUUGAUGAUGCAAAAAAAAUUGGAGUUCAUUAUUUGUGCUUUUGAGCAAAUGUCUGGGCUUACUAUUAAUUUUCAUAAAAGUGAACGGUUCCUUUUUGGAGAGGAAAAUAAUAAAAGACAGACAUAUCAGGAAUUUUUCACUUGUGGCAUGGGAUCUCUCCCUAUGAAGUAUCUAGGGAUGCCAGUGUCACACACUAGAAUUAGAAAAAGACACUGGUCUGGGUAGUUGAAAAAAAUGAGAAAAGAUGUGAGUGAUGGCAAGGUAGACUCCUAGGAUCUAUUGCUGGGAGAAUAACCUUGGUGCAGGCCUGCUUGUCCAAUAUACCUCUUUUUUAUGAUGUCGUUUUACCCCAUUCCUGCUGGGGUACUUAAGAAAGUAGACUCUUAUAGAGCUAGAUUGGUUUGGCAAGAAGACGAAGAUAAGAAGAAAUAUCAUUUGGUAAACUGGAAGACCUGUUGCAAACCCAAAGACUUGGGAGGUUUGGGUAUUUUAAAUUUAAACAUUAUGAAUAAAGAUUUACUUGUGAAAUGGUUUCGGAAUUUGGAAAUGGAGGAAGGACUUUGGCAGCCAGUCCUCUAGGACAAAUAUGUAACUGAUGGAUGCUUAUCCAGGACACAACAUAAAAAUGGAGAUUCACAAUUUUGGACUAAUACUAUUAAGGUCAAAGAGAUAUUUGACAGAUUUUGUAGGAAAAUUUUGGGGGAUGGCAAAAACACAAGGUUCUGGGAAAGACAUAUGGGUAGAUGAUAAACCUCUGAAAGAGGCAUAUCCAAGGCUAUAUAUGCUUAGUUUUGAACACAAUAUCAAUGUGUCUGAAGCCUUGGAGAACGAGUGGAGAUGAUUUAAAUUUAGAAGAACACUAUAUGAGGAAACCAUGGAAUUGUGGAAAAGCCUAGGAAGAAGAUGUGAGGAGGUUAAUAUGGGAAGAGGUAGAGAUCAGGUGGAGUGCAUGCUAACUCCGGAUAAACAAUUUAUUCUCAAGUCCUUAUAUAGACUAGAGAUAUUUUUAGAAGACCUUUUUAUGCUAAAAAAACAGAUGAUCCACACAUAAUCAUAUCAAAUCUUCAAAAUGCAUUAAAACGGAGCAUCGAUGGAUAACAAACUAUAGACUGGAGAUAUUUACUUGCAUAAAACAAAUGGAAAUGAAGAGGUGAAAAUAACGCAGAUAAUGUACUCUCAGUGACUUAUAUUAGCCACAUCAGGCCCAAACGACUGGCCACAAUAACUAGUGCUACAUGACAGCAAACAGAUGAAAUGGCUAGGUGGAUUCUUACAACUAACUAGUACACUCACCCUUACAAAGUUUGGCUAACAACAUUGUUCAAAGCAACAAAGGCAUAUGCACCGAACUCAAGACUGUAGACAUAGGAGUUGGGACUUCUCCACGCAAUGCCAGGAAAUUAGGAGAGUAGGCCCAUGUCAACCACUAAUUUCAGCAAAAGGUGUUGUCCCAUGCUGAGCACGUAAUGUAGCACUGGAUCUCAGUGACCAGCUGAGGGCAAUUCCGCAAAACAGGGAGUAUAAGGCAAACCAUUCAUGCCUUUGGCGCAGAUAACAUGCACUUUUUGAUUAUCCAUGUCAUACGACAAUGUCAUGUUCUUCUUGUCGGUAAGAAAAAUCACGUUGCAAUCCGGAUGAAUUGCAAACAUCGCAUAAGAAUCUCCAUGUUUACGGCAAUUCCUUCCAAACAACUCCAAAACCUUAAAAGUGUGCUUUAGGGUCCACUUUCCAGUAUCAUAAUCCUCAAGGACCCAAAUAUAGAGUUGGCAAUCAUAAAAAUUAUCUGUCUUCCACGCAUACAGGCGUCCUUGAGACUGCCCAACAUCACAUAUGUUUGGCAAGUCAUUUGGCAUUUGAAUCUCCCUCCAAACUUUCCCCUCCACGUCGACUGUGGCCAUUAUGUUAUCAAUGGAAGGCAGAUGGAUAGUGUCAUUAAGGAAGACCUGUGUGUCUCUACCAUGAUCCACGAGAGGCUCUCUUGUCCACCUACUUUGCACAUGAGUCCACCGUCCAGUUUCUGACGAGUAGAUUGCCACUUCUCCGGAACCGUCCACACCAAACAUAUUGGGCUGGGGCGCAAACACCACAAAGCGGGAUGGAACAGCAGGGUCAAAACCUAAGAAAGCGAUUGGAUCAGGACCUGGAAAUCCGACAGGAGGCAGCACAGUCCACUCCUCGGUCGCAGGAUUGCAGACAAGAUAACAGGCUUCGCCUAGAAGAUUAUUCGAGCAGCUGCAGAGGAGGAGUCCGCCGCAGACCUGUUGGACAAUAAUGUAGAGGUACCUUUUGCCAAAGAAAGAGAGUGAAGGGUCGACCAGAGGCGGGCCUCUCCCAUUCAAAUUGCAGAAACUGAAACCUUCGCCUUCAUCCUGGUAAAAGAAGCCAGAGAGGGUCUGUGGCGACCUCUUGCGGAUGUCAGGGGCGGAGCAGAGGGCGAGCCACGGCUUGGACACGCACUUGAAGCGGCAGAGGGACCUGUAGGGCACUCGCGAAAGGAUCUCCACGAGGCCGCCCUCGGGGAGGCUUGGCGCAGGCUGCUGCUCCUGCUCCCGCUCCAGCUUCUGCUUCUUCUCCUGUAUAAAUGAUAACGGCUGGUUUAGGUUCCCGAUUCCUUCUCUUGGAUAACGGCUGCUUCUUCUCCUGCUCCAAGAUUGGAAGGCCCUUGUUAAACAAAAGGAAGACUGGAGCAGCGCGAGCGAACCUCGGAAGCUACCGGAGCAAUGUCGGGGAGCAGCAGCGUAGAAUGAGACGGAGCGUCGUCGUCGCGGCGGACGGUCGCCGUCGGCUGACCCUGCAGCGCACAGCCAUGCUCGCCUCCACCUCCUCCUCCUGGCGGCAUCGCCUCCUCUUCGGCUCGCGGAUCAGUGGCUCGAGGCAGUCGAAUCGACCGUGGCGGCGCUGGCUGCCGCUGCUCGCCGGGGCUAGGGUUCGUGAGGGGGAAUGGGGCGGCGGCUGUUAUGGGAGCGUGCGUGAGUGCGAGUGCAGUGGUUGAUUUGUUACUCUGCUGACAAUAGACGGCCCAAUGGACCCUGAUAAUUUGUUGGCCCACUCCGCUGAAUAAUAAUCGAAUAAUUUCCUUGGUGCCUCUAAAAAAAAGAAGAACCCAAGCCACGCUGCUUGCUGCUCUGCUUCUUAUUCUAUCCUAGUGUUGCAAUUUGUACUGAACUUAGUGUUGUGUUUUAUGAUAUAGCCAUUAGAAAUAUUUUGGUAGAGCAGUCUCUCAAGUGAUUUGAUAGAAAAUGAUGAUUGUAAAGAGCAUGGACUGAAAACAUCGUGUGUCAUGUCAUGAGGUUCAGACUUGGGACUUCCAAGGGAUAUGCCUCUGAUAAGCACUAAGCUGAUUAUAUAUUGUACUUAUAUCAUGAUUUGCAUUGAAAGGGUAGAAAAAAAAACAUAAGAUUGUAUGGUUUCUUUCAGAAAACUGAAGCCAUCAUGUUGUACUGCUCAGAAAUAAAACCUACACGACUAGAAGGCACAAUGGAAGGAAUUGAAGAAGCAUCCGCGGCUCAUCAGGCAAAAGGUAAGCAGUUUUCUCUCCGAGUAAACAUUUUUCUCUGGCUGCUUUCAUCAAGGACAGGUUCGGCCAGCUUGACACACUAGUACCGGGUGGCUCAAAUUUUCAAAUGAAAAUUUGAAUAUGCAAUUAACUUAUCGUACAUAAGCCAAUUCGAAUGAAAAUCAUGAUUUGAAGUGAUGUGUGAGAUCAACCUGAAGUGAAGUGAUGUGUAAACAAGGAGCGCUAUCCAACAACUGCUGGAUGUAUCACACACUGCACACUGGACUAAAAUUUCAACGCCACACCAAGUGAAGAUUGAUUGUAGUAACUGAACCCCAUCUUAAUGCCAGAACAGGCGCCUGUCAUGCUGUAAUUUCACAGAUUCAGCAAGAACUAAACCUUCAACCAACAAAGCCAUGAUAGGAAAACCAACCUUAUCUUCAGAUUCACGCAACAAAUAUUUCUACUUACUAAAGAGUUUACAGGAUCCGGUUUUGUGCGGUCCUCGUUUCCAACAGUCAAUGCGACAUGUUCCGGUGUACACUUGCAGCACUUGGCAUGGGAAAUAGCAUCCAGAACAGGUGCCUGGAAUGCUGUAAUGCCAUCCUAUAGCAGCUACACAAAAGUUAGAGGCCUGUCAAAUAUUUCUACUUACAAAGACUCUGCAGAAUAUGGUCCGUGGUCCUCAUUUCGGACAGUCAGUGCACCAUGUUUAGUGUACAACACUUGAAAGGAGAAAUAAUAAAUAUCUGCUAUAUGUAACAUAUCCAUUGUGGUGAUUAUUAUAAAAAACAUUGUCGUGCUCAGCUUCCCAUAAAGAGCAGGCCUCUAAACCAAUGUUAAGCAACCAAAAACUUCAACACUCUAGUCAGGUUUCAGGAGGAGAAUGAUGAACUAUAUUAGACAGCAAGAAUUCAAAGCACACUGGGAAGCAUAUGUAAAAAAAAAAAUGGAUGGUGAACUUGUACCCAUGUUACCCCAGUCUUGCAACAAAGAUGGUAGUCUCAGACUAUAAGUGACUGCUUCCCCACAAAAGGUCAUAUUCCCCUGAGCAAAAACAUAUGAAAGAACUGUCUUCCAGGCCAGUUUAGCUGCACAAAUUUCUAGACACCACCAAUGGAACAUGGAAGUCCACGUGGGUUACAUAAAAGAAACUAAUAUGUCUUUACCCUACAAGUAUAUGGUGCAAUAUAGAAGAGACAAUCCACAGAUAAUCUUCUCAAAUCUUACAAAAUGCUGCAUAGAAACAGAGCUAGCACCGAUGGAUACAUAAAAGUAUAUGGUGCAAUAUAGAAGAGACAAUCCACAGAUAAUCUUCUCAAAUCUUACAAGAUGCAUAGAAACAGAGCUAGCGCCGAUGGAUAACAAGCUAUAGAUUGCAGAUAUUCACUUGCAUAGACAAGUGAAAAUAAGGAGGUGAAAAUGCAAACAAUGUCAAACAUUGAUAAUGUACUCUCACUGAGUGUCUUAUAUUAUCAUCCCACAUCAACAGUUAACGAGUGGCCACAAUAAUUUAGUACUACAUGAAAGCAAAAUAGAUUAAAGGACUAGGUUCAUUCAUACAACUACUUAUUACUCUUACAAAGUCUUGGCUAACAAAGAUUGUUCAAAGCAACAAAGGCAUGAACCUGAACACCAACAGAUAGGAUAGGAACACCACACUGUAGAUAUAGGAGUUUGUUCAUCUCUACGCAAUGGCACGAAAUUAAUUAGGAGAGUCGGUCCAUGCAACCACUAAUUUUCGCAAAAGGUGUUGUCUCAUAUGGUGAUGCUGCAGUGAAUCUCAA
rnacentral:lncRNA from 1 species